CUGCGUCGGCGGGGAUAUCGAUUUCCUUUUGGAAUCGAAGCCACUUGCCGUUAAUGAGCUGCCGAUCGCCGGAGACUCUCAGCUUACCGGUGGACGUUACCUGAACUUUCAGUUGGUUGCUACUGAAACCUUUGGAAGGGGGAAUAUGAUGAAACCUGAGAGGUGAACGACGAGAACAUGAGAAUCAGGAUGAUCAACCCAAUCAAAUCGCGGCUCAAAUUUCUCGAAGUUUUUAGCAGAAGAAGAAGGAUCCAUGGCCAUUGCGGUUCGAAUUUCUUCUCAGGUAAUUGUAAUUCAAGCUUUGUUCGGAUGUGUUCUGUUGGAGGCAAUUUCUUCAUAAGAUAUAUAUAUUUUCCAAAAGGGAUUUUGGUGUUUUUAAUUUGGAUAUUGAUUCGAAAUCUGGACUUCAAACCCCCGCUUUCUGAAGUUGCUAUCGCUAAAUAGGAAUAUUCUUUGGGAAUAGUAAUUCCUUCAGUUGAAGCUUUCUUUGUGCUUCUUCGGCCAUGGCGGUUGCUUGAAAAAAUUUGAGAUAGCACCUUAUAUUAUUAUUUUAUUAAAAUAGGAGUUCCACCUUGCUAAGAUCAUAAUGUGGAAAUCCUUUUAAUUA